rnacentral:pre_miRNA from 1 species
ACAACAACAUUCAGACCGUCGGUCUACCGAGCAAUAUCAACCGCUCGGUGGAAGAUCUUCCCUUUGUCGUAUAUA